rnacentral:rRNA from 1 species
GACGAACGCUAGCGGCGUGCCUAAGAAAUGCAAGUUGAGCGAGGUGAUGGACUUCGGUCUGUUUACCUAGCAGCGAACGGUCGCGUAACACGUAAGCAACCUGCCUCGAAGUUUGGGAUAGCCCUCCGAAAGGAGGAGUAAUACCGGAUGUGGAUAUAUUUAGACAUCUUUAUAUAUCUAAAGCAGCAAUGCGCUUCGAGAUGGGCUUGCGGCCUAUCAGCUAGUUGGUGGGGUAAAGGCCUACCAAGGCGACGACGGGUAGCUGGUCUGAGAGGAUGAUCAGCCGGAUUGGGACUGAGAUACGGCCCAGACUCCUACGGGGGGCAGCAAUUAGGAAUCUUGCGCAAUGGGCGAAAGCCUGACGCAGCGACGCCGCGUGACUGAUGAAGUCUUUCGGGAUGUAAAGGUCUUUUCUGAAGGAAGAAACAAAUGACGGUACUUCAGGAAUAAGCCCCGGCUAACUACGUG